rnacentral:rRNA from 1 species
UACGGGGGGUGCGAGCGUUGUCCGGAAUCACUGGGCGUAAAGGGCGCGUAGGUGGCGUGAUAAGGGUGUGGUGAAAGCCCGGGGCUCAACCCCGGGUCGGCCGUGCGGACUGCCGGGCUGGAGCACUGUAGAGGCAGGUGGAAUUCCGGGUGUAGCGGUGGAAUGCGUAGAGAUCCGGAAGAACACCGGUGGCGAAGGCGGCCUGCUGGGCAGUAGCUGACGCUGAAGCGCGACAGCGUGGGGAGCAAACAGG